GCAAGUCGAGCGGUAACAGGAGAAAGCUUGCUUUCUUGCUGACGAGCGGCGGACGGGUGAGUAAUGUAUGGGGAUCUGCCCGAUAGAGGGGGAUAACUACUGGAAACGGUGGCUAAUACCGCAUGACGUCUACGGACCAAAGCAGGGGCUCUUCGGACCUUGCGCUAUCGGAUGAACCCAUAUGGGAUUAGCUAGUAGGUGAGGUAAUGGCUCACCUAGGCGACGAUCUCUAGCUGGUCUGAGAGGAUGAUCAGCCACACUGGGACUGAGACACGGCCCAGACUCCUACGGGAGGCAGCAGUGGGGAAUAUUGCACAAUGGGCGCAAGCCUGAUGCAGCCAUGCCGCGUGUAUGAAGAAGGCCUUAGGGUUGUAAAGUACUUUCAGCGGGGAGGAAGGUGAUAAAGUUAAUACCUUUGUCAAUUGACGUUACCCGCAGAAGAAGCACCGGCUAACUCCGUGCCAGCAUCCGCGC
rnacentral:rRNA from 1 species